AUUGAACGCUGGCGGCAGGCCUAAUACAUGCAAGUCGAACGAGUGGCGGACGGGUGAGUAAUGUCUGGGAAACUGCACGAUGGAGGGGGAUAACUACUGGAAACGGUAGCUAAUACCGCAUACCAUCGGAUGUGCCCAUAUGGGAUUAGCUAGUAGGUGGGGUAACGGCUCACCUAGGCGACGAUCCGUAGCUGGUCGGAGAGGAUGACCAGCCACCCUGGAACUGAGACACUGUCCAGACUCGUAGGGGAGGCAGCAGUGAGACAUAUUGCGCAAUGAGCGCAAGCCAAAUGCAGCCAUGCCGCGUGUAUGAAGAGGGCCUUCGGGUUGUAAAGUACUUUCAGCGAGGAGGCGUUACUCGCAGAAGAAGCACCGGCUAACUCCGUGCCAGCAGCCGCGGUAAUAC
rnacentral:rRNA from 1 species